rnacentral:rRNA from 1 species
AUGCCUCCUCCGCCCCGAAACGACGGCAGCAGGGACUCCGACACCUCACCCGCCUUCCACCUCCCCCAGCUCGUCUUCUCGCCGGUCGAUUUGGAGGAGCCUCCUUUCGCGCGCCACCGUGGCCGGGCUGCGGCGACCACCAGAGGUCUGCCGCCGGCAGGAGCUCCCUCCUUCUCCACCACGAGGCACCAGCAGAGGAGGAUGACUCCUCCUUCCACCCCUAGCCACGACGUCCAACCACUAACGCCGCCAGAAACCCUAGCCCGAAUCGGGCAGAGGUGCAGCAGCACGGGAUCCCCUCCAAAAGUAGCAUCUUCUUCUUCCUCUGGUUCUUCUUCUUCCCCGGAUCUGAUGCGUGUGCGUGUUCUCGUGGCUGUGUGCAGGCAGUUGAAGGAAGGGGCGGGCCAUGGAGAAGCUACAAGGGCCGCAUCGAGCGUGCACACACACCACCGUUCCUCGGAGGGCGCCUCGCUGCUGGGGCUCGCCAACUACGCGGACGAGGAGGAGGAUGAGCACCGGGGCCCGAGGGGGCGCGCGAACGGUCGGCCCCGCGAGGAGGAGGAGGAGGAGGACGAGAGGAGGGCUCUGGAGAGGCGACCCAGGCAGGUCGAGCUGCGCCGGGACUGCCCCUACCUCGACACCGUCAAUCGACUGGUAUGA